rnacentral:snRNA from 1 species
ACCACCGAGCGGCGGGUAGAAU